AAUGGAUUAGUUUAAAUUUAAAAUAUUAAUCUGUCAGAUUAAAAAUACUUAUUAAAGUAUUCUUUA
rnacentral:tRNA from 1 species